GAUGAACGCUGGCGGCGUGCCUAAUACAUGCAAGUCGAGCGAAUGGAUUGAGAGCUUGCUCUUAUGAAGUUAGCGGCGGACGGGUGAGUAACACGUGGGUAACCUGCCCAUAAGACUGGGAUAACUCCGGGAAACCGGGGCUAAUACCGGAUAACAUUUUGAACCGCAUGGUUCGAAAUUGAAAGGCGGCUUCGGCUGUCACUUAUGGAUGGACCCGCGUCGCAUUAGCUAGUUGGUGAGGUAACGGCUCACCAAGGCAACGAUGCGUAGCCGACCUGAGGGGGUGAUCGGCCACACUGGGACUGAGACACGGCCCAUGCUCCGACGGGAGGCAGCAGUAGGGAAUCUUCCGCAAUGGACGAAAGUCUGACGGAGCAACGCCGCGUGAGUGAUGAAGGCUUUCGGGUCGUAAAACUCUGUUGUUAGGGAAGAACAAGUGCUAGUUGAAUAAGCUGGCACCUUGACGGUACCUAACCAGAAAGCCACGGCUAACUACGUGCCAGCCGCCGCCGUAA
rnacentral:rRNA from 1 species